CACCGCGGUUAUACGAGGGGCCCAAGUUGACAACCACCGGCGUAAAAGGUGGCUAGUAGUUGCACAGCACACUAAAGUCAAACAUCUUUCAAGCUGUUAUACGCAUUUGAAGCCCAGAAGCUCACCCACGAAAGUGACUUUACAUACUACUACCCCACUAAAGCCAGGAAA
rnacentral:rRNA from 1 species